rnacentral:tRNA from 1 species
ACCUGGCUAGCUCAGUCAGAAAAACAUGUGACUCUUGAUCUCAGGGUCAUGAGUUCAAACCCCAUGUCAGGUG